AUGACGAGAGGCAGGCCAGCAGAAAGGCUCACAAUCUCACAACAUGCUCUUGUUCCAGUGCCCCAGACAACCCCUACCCUCUUCCCACUGAGCCCUGCACAGCCCGUGCCAAAUGACAACGUGGUCCUCGGCUGUUUGAUCCACGAUUUCUUCCCCUCGGGACCUAUGAACGUGACCUGGAGCAAAAGCGGAGACAAUGUGGCCCUCAUAAACUACCCACCUGCCCAGACCUCAGGGGGCCUGUACACCAUGAGCAGCCAGCUGACCCUGCCAGCCACGGAGUGCCCAGCGGGCACCUCCUUCAUAUGCUCUGCGCAGCACGACUCCACCCCCGCCAGAACAGUGGAAGUGCCUUGCGGAGAUAAAGACCCCGUACCUUGUGAACCUUGUGACACUCCGUACUGCCAGCCCCAGCUGACCCUGCACCGGCCAGCCCUCGAGGACCUGCUGCUCGGCUCAGAUGCUAGCCUCAGGUGUACACUCAGUGGCCUCAAAAACCCAGAGGGAGUCACCUUCAGCUGGCAGUCUUCCAUCGAGAAGACCCCCAUUCUGGAGGAGCCCAAGAGAACGUCCUGUGGCUGCUUCAGUGUGACCAGCGUGCUGCCCAGCUGUGCAGAGCCCUGGAACCGGGGCGAAACCUUCACGUGCACAGCCAACCACUCGGAGCUCAAGGCCCCCCAGACUGCCACCAUCGCCAAAGCCUCAGAGAACACCUUCCCGCCCCAAGUCCAUCUGCUGCCGCCGCCAGCAGAAGAGCUGUCCCUGAACGAGCUGGUGUCACUGACCUGCCUGGUGCGAGGCUUCAGCCCUAAGGAGGUGCUGGUGCGCUGGCAGCAUGGCAACCAGGAGCUGCCCAAGAACGCGUACCUGGUGUGGGGACCCCUUCGGGAGCCGGACCAGGGAGCCACCACCUUCGCCGUGACGAGCGUGCUGCGCGUGGCAGCCGCAGCCUGGAAGCAGGGCGACAACUUCUCCUGCACCGUGGGCCACGAGACCCUGCCCACGGGCUUCACCCAGAAGACCAUCGACCACCAGUCGGGUAAACCCACUCAGGUCAAUGUGUCUGUGAUCGUGUCAGAUGUGGAUGGCGUCUGCUACUAAGCCACCCUGCCUGGUCCAACCCUCAAAUAAACUCCAUUCUCGUCCA